UAUUUGACUUUUUAAUCCUUAAAGAGAUAAAUUAAUUUACUCUUUAAAAUUUUAUUUUUAAUGGCAUACCUAUGUAAUUACUUACAAAAAUUAA
rnacentral:sRNA from 1 species